rnacentral:rRNA from 1 species
GCAAGUCGAACGGGGUUAAGAUUCGUCAUAACUUAGUGGCGGACGGGUGAGUAACGCGUAAGAAUCUACCUUUAGGAGAGGGAUAACCACUGGAAACGGUGGCUAAUACCUCAUAAGCCGAGGGGCAAAAGGGUAGCUUAGGUUAUCUGCCUGAAGAGGAGCUUGCGUCUGAUUAGCUUGUUGGUGAGGUAAAGGCUUACCAAGGCAACGAUCAGUAGCUGGUCUGAGAGGAUGAUCAGCCACACUGGGACUGAGACACGGCCCAGACUCCUACGGGAGGCAGCAGUGAGGAAUUUUCCGCAAUGGGCGAAAGCCUGACGGAGCAAUGCCGCGUGGAGGUAUGAGCCCAUGGGUUGUAAACUCCUUUUCUCAGAGAAGAAGAUCUGACGGUAUCUGAGGAAUAAGCAUCGGCUAACUUCGUGCCAGCAGCCGCGGUAAUACGAGGGAUGCGAGCGUUAUCCGGAAUGAUUGGGCGUAAAGAGUCUGUAGGUGGUUGGUGAAGUCUUCUGUUAAAGAUCGGGGCUUAACCCCGGGAAGGCAGUGGAAACUCACUAGCUUGAGUGCGGUAGGGGCAGAGGGAAUUCCCAGUGUAGUGGUGAAAUACGUAGAUAUUGGGAAGAACACCAACGGCGAAGGCACUCUGCUGGGCCGCGACUGACACUGAGAGACGAAAGCUAGGGUAGCAACAGGGAUUAGAUACCCCUUUAGUCCUAGCCGUAAACGAUGGAUACUAGGUAUUGAGCGGUUGAACCCGCCCCAGUGCCCCANCUAACGCGUCAAGUAUCCC